GAAUUUUUGGUUUAAUAGUACAGAGUAUCUGCGGUUACAUUUACUGUUCCGUUGAUUAGGGUUUUGGUUUUAAUUCCUUAGAAACUUCCAUUGGCGGUUUAAGAUUUGUGCCACAACUCAUAAGCAUGUUCUUUUAGCUGUCACGUUGGCAAUGCAAUUUUUCCUUUAAAUUCAAUUUAUUUAGUACAAUAUUUAGUUUAUCUGUUUACUUUUGGUAGAUCAAAUCGACUUUUUAGAUGGGCUUGAACACAUUAUUUGCUAAAUAAUGGUUUCAUGUGAGUGGGUUAACAUGAAAGAAAGCCUUGAACACAAACCUUCUGUUUUAUGCCAAUAAAUCAAAACUUGAAAGACUAGGUAUCAUCUCUACCUGUUUAACCUAACGAUGUGGAUAAGUAUAUUUUACAGAUGGAUAAUUUUAUUGCAUUAAUUAUGAAUUGUAUAAAAUCCACAACAUGAGCAUUCAAACUCAUAAGUUAUCCUAUGGAAGUGGAACAAAGAUAAAUAUGCAGAAAUGAAAUGAUGGGUUGGAUAAGGCAUGAAUGCAUUUGUAUGAAGGUGGAAAUAGCACCCAGUGAGGAAAAUUUGAGAGAUGAAAGAUUGAGAUGCUUUGUAUAUAUGCAUUGUAUAUUAGUGAUAUAACCAGUAUCAGUAUGAAAGGUUGGACAUAUUGAAAUUGCAGGAGAAAAAAUUGAGAGGGAGAUUUUGCAUAUGGUGGUCAAUAAUCCGAUCCUAGAUCUAAUGUAGAAGAAGAUAGAGACUAGUUACAUUGUGUUCUGACUAGUUGUAGCAGUGAAAAUGUUGAAUGAAAUCAAUGAAUCUUUCAAGAAGGAAAAUGUAUAUGUAAUGCUAUAAAUCAGCUUAUUAAAUUGAUAUUGAAGUCUUAAUUACAAGUUGGUAUUAUUACUAGCUUUUUAUUUAGAAAGGUCAAGCACUAUCAAAAUUUGGAUGUGACUGUAUUUCAUUUGGGAUUCUGGUUUGGUUAUAAAAGUUCUCUUUAAAUUGUAGCUGCCAAUGAGGAAUAUUUUUUCCUGAAUCCUGACAAGCUUUGAACUGCUUAAACUGCACAGGUCAAGAAUCCGUUUGAAGAAAAUGAAAUAGUUGGAAUUACAAAUUAUAUUGACUUUGGGUUUGAGUUGCAGACAAGGGUUGAUGAUGCCAAUACAUCAAAGAAUAUCCCAGAAUCCACCUUUCAAGUUGCUGCAUCCUGGCAGGCCAAUAAAAAUUUCUUAUUGAAGGUAUGUAUAUUCCAUUUGGUUCUUCGAGCACUUGACCUUUGUUGGUUUGUCUCUAUCUCUAUUAUCUUUAACCUUACCAAUUUGGUGCGAUUUUUCUUACAUCAUCAGGUGUCAAAUUGGAUUUGAAGUUGCUAUCUUUAGCAAUAGAUCUAUUUUAUUAAAUACUCAGGAGAAUUUUAAGCUGAAGGCAAGUAUAUAUCAGCUUAGGUUGGGUUGAAACUGAGUGAGUCUGUCUCAUUCUCUUUUGGUCACUAUCUCUCGUUAUUUUGUCCCUUGCUUUCAGUAUCACACAGAAAUACUUUGAUUGGCAAGAGGUGACUCCACUAGUAAAGGAAGCUUGGAGGCGUAAGGCUGCAGAGCGCUAUAAGGCCCUAAUGUGCAAUGUCAGGAAAGGAAAAUCCAAGGUCAUCGUGCCUAAUAGUACAAUGCAAAAAUGGAAGGAGGCAUGGAGUAGCCCAGAGUUUAAAGCCAAGAGCCAUCAAUUCA